rnacentral:piRNA from 1 species
UGGAACCAUAGAUCUACAAUUGGCUUUAGCUC